UUGUUUUGUUCAUAAAAUUGCACACCCCAUCACGAUACGCAUCAACUAAUCCCCUCCCAUCAACCCGUAUCCUACGGUACAUCCAACUCUAGUCGGCUAACAUCUUUAAUUGAACAAAAUAUACAAUUAGAAUAAUAAUAUUCAUGUAUGUGGUUCAUGCAUGAAUUAUAUUCGACAUUAUGUCCACUCUAUAGGGGUAAGGAUUCUAUCAUGUUCCUGGAUGCAUCUCCUCACUAGUGUCAACCUUGAGCACGUUUCUUCUGUUUUAAGAAAAUUUCAGCAGCACCGCCCCAUGGUGUCUAAGUACACAAAAUAGACUAAGACAGCUUAGUCUAAGUAUGCACUCGGAGAACAUGUAGAAACAUCAGCUGAAAAAUC
rnacentral:lncRNA from 1 species